rnacentral:misc_RNA from 1 species
AAAAAAAGUCAAUUUUGACUUGACCCCAACCUAACGGUUCAUUUUCAAACUAGACUAAUCCGAUUUCGAUUUGAUUAUGGUUCCAAACUGGACUGUGGCCACAGGUCUUGAUGCGACCUCUUAUUGAAACCCAUCUCAAGUCUUUGUUCCACAUCUCACGACUCCAUGCACUUCUCGAUGAACCAAAGAAAUAAAAAUCACAUUCAUGUAGCUGCAUGGUCUAAGCCAGGAGAGAAUAAAUAGUCAUCCAGAGGAACAGCUACGCUGAAAAGAUUACUGUCAACGCACACCCUAGGCAAAGCAGAACAUAUCUUGUGAUCCAAGUUUAGAAACUAAGUUAAAUGGAAUUAAGAAAAGGAUUAGCUGCACCCAAAAACCUAGAUCUAUUGGAUAAAAACACAACAACACUAUUUAUCCAAAAAAAAAAAAAAAA